UGUAGCUUAGUGAUAGAGUGCUUGCCUAGCAUGCAGGAGGCCCUGGGUUCGAUUCCUCAGCA
rnacentral:tRNA from 1 species